rnacentral:lncRNA from 1 species
CCGCUACUAUGGAGGUUGUCGGAGAAGCCCCCGAUGCCGAGGAUGCCCCUGACACCGAAGCAGCCGCCCCAGGAGCACCUCCCGCAUAGUUUCCUUCCUUCUCUUUUUUUUUUACUUCCCUGUAAGUGGCCGCGUGGCGCCUUAGAACUUUUUUAUGUUAGCUUUCCCUUGUCAUUAUCAGUGUUACUCGUCACCUUGUUUCACCCAAGCUUCAAUGUAUAUCCAAUGCUAUUUUCACUUGCUCCUUUGCCUAAAACUAGCUUGCCGGGGAGGGGCUCUGUCCUUCCCGUGUUUUAGCCUUGCGUACCCAAGGACUCACCAACCACGUGCUCUGCCAGACUAGGGACCCGGGACGGACCCGCGGUGCCGACCUAGGACCAAACAGCAGCGGCUAGUCACUCCGCCUGCGGGUUAACUACCCUAGCGCGCACGCCUCCGGGACGGACCCGUGAGCCACGUGUGGGGGGGCGUCCUCACCCUGCAAGCGUCCUUCCUACGCUCCAGCUACACGGGGACCGAGCUUACCCUAGCAAACCAGUG